GUGUGUGUGUGUGUGUGUGUGAUCCAGGUCUGUGUACAUGUGAGGACCAAGAUUGUCAAAAAAUCUGUCCCAACAAAUCAGUCCCAGCAAGGUCCCAACAAAUCAUCCCCAACAAAUCAGCCCCAGCAAGGUCCCAACAAAUCAGUCCCAGCAAGGUCCCAACAAAUCAGUCCCAGCAAGGUCCCAACAAAUCAGUCCCAGCAAGGUCCCAACAAAUCAGUCCCAGCAAGGUCCCAACAAAUCAGUCCCAGCAAGGUCCCAACAAAUCAGUCCCAGCAAGGUCCCAACAAAUCAGUCCCAGCAAGGUCCCAACAAAUCAGUCCCAGCAAGGUCCCAACAAAUCAGUCCCAGCAAGGUCCCAACAAAUCAGUCCCAGCAAGGUCCCAACAAAUCAUUCCCAACAAAUCUGUCCCUGCAAGGUCCCAACAAAUCAUUCCCAAAAAAUCUGUCCCUGCAAGGUCCCAACAAAUCAGUCCCA